GAUGAACGCUGGCGGCGUGCCUAAUACAUGCAAGUCGAACGAAACUUCUUUAUCACCGAGUGCUUGCACUCACCGAUAAAGAGUUGAGUGGCGAACGGGUGAGUAACACGUGGGCAACCUGCCCAAAAGAGGGGGAUAACACUUGGGAACAGGUGCUAAUACCGCAUAACCAUAGUUACCGCAUGGUAACUAUGUAAAAGGUGGCUAUACUACCGCUUUUGGAUGGGCCCGCGGCGCAUUAGCUAGUUGGUAGGGUAAAGGCUUACCAAGGCAAUGAUGCGUAGCCGAAUUGAGAGGUUGAUCGGCCACAUUGGGACUGAGACACGGCCCAAACUCCUACGGGAGGCAGCAGUAGGGAAUCUUCCACAAUGGGCGAAAGCCUGAUGGAGCAACGCCGCGUGGGUGAAGAAGGUCUUCGGAUCGUAAAACCCUGUUGUUAGAGAAGAAAGUGCGUGAGAGUAACUGUUCACGUUUCGACGGUAUCUAACCAGAAAGCCACGGCUAACUACGUG
rnacentral:rRNA from 1 species